rnacentral:rRNA from 1 species
GACGAACGCUGGCGGCGUGCUUAACACAUGCAAGUCGAACGGAAAGGCCCUGCUUUUGUGGGGUGCUCGAGGGGCGAACGGGUGAGUAACACGUGAGUAACCUGCCCUUGACUUUGGGAUAACUUCAGGAAACUGGGGCUACUACCGGAUAGGAGCUCCUGCAGCAUGGUGGGGGUUGGAAAGUUUCGGCGGUUGGGGAUGGACGCGCGGCUUAUCAGCUUGUUGGUGGGGUAGUGGCAUACCAAGGCUGUGACGGGUAGGCGGCCGGAGAGCGUGACCGGCCACAUUGGUACUGCGAUACGGCCCAGACUCCUACGGGAGGCAGCAGUGGGGAAUAUUGCACAAUGGGCGGAAGCCUGAUGCAGCAACGCCGCGUGCGGGAUGACGGCCUGCUGGUUGUAAACCGCUUUCGCCUGUGACGAAGCGUGAGUGACGGUAAUGGGUAAAGAAGCACCGGCUAACUACGUG